AUUGAACGCUGGCGGCAUGCUUUACACAUGCAAGUCGAACGGUAACAGGCCGAAAGGUGCUGACGAGUGGCGAACGGGUGAGUAAUGCAUCGGAACGUGCCCAGUCGUGGGGGAUAACGCAGCGAAAGCUGUGCUAAUACCGCAUACGAUCUAUGGAUGAAAGCGGGGGACCGUAAGGCCUCGCGCGAUUGGAGCGGCCGAUGUCAGAUUAGGUAGUUGGUGGGGUAAAGGCCUACCAAGCCGACGAUCUGUAGCUGGUCUGAGAGGACGACCAGCCAAACUGGGACUGAGACACGGCCCAGACUCCUACGGGAGGCAGCAGUGGGGAAUUUUGGACAAUGGGCGCAAGCCUGAUCCAGCAAUGCCGCGUGCAGGAAGAAGGCCUUCGGGUUGUAAACUGCUUUUGUACGGAACGAAACGGUCUGGGUUAAUACCCUGGGCUAAUGACGGUACCGUAAGAAUAAGCACCGGCUAACUACGUGCCAGCAGCCGCAGUAAUAC
rnacentral:rRNA from 1 species